AUUUUUAAUUUUCUGGGGUAGAAAUUAGUUUAUAUAUUUCUAAUUUUAUUUUUGUGUGUGUUAAGGAUGCCUUGUUUAUAGAUGAGUGAAUAGGUGGCAUAAAAAUAUGUGAAAGGGUAAUUUUGUGUAUGAUGCUAAGUUGCAGUUUUCUGACCGUGUUUACUAUUAACAGCUCUAGUUUUAUUGUGGAUACUGUUUUAUUGUUUUUUGUUCAUAACUUUGUUUUAAUUGGUGUAACCACAAGGGAAUUUGAUAAUUUCACAAGACUUUUCUCACAUGAAUAGUAAAUGGGAUCCACAUUUACGGCUUUGUAGAAAUAUCAAAUUUCUCUCGUAGAAAUAACAAUUCCCCAUCCUUAAAUGCUUCCAAAUUGUGUGUUAUUUCAUUCUGAGAAACUUUAUUUAUUUAUUAGUUUAGUUUAGUUUAGUUUUUAUACUCCUUCCGUCCCACAAAAGGAGUCCGGUUUUGAUUCUAAAGUCAAUUCAUGAAAUCUGAAAUUUAAAAAUUGAUGUGAAUAGAACAAUUUUUUUUUUAAUUUAGUAUUACUUAGAUG
rnacentral:lncRNA from 1 species